UACAGAGGGUGCGAGCGUUAAUCGGAAUUACUGGGCGUAAAGCGCGCGUAGGCGGCUUUGCAAGUCGGGUGUGAAAUCCCCAGGCUCAACCUGGGAACUGCAUUCGAGACUGCAUUGCUAGAGUAUGGGAGAGGGAAGUGGAAUUUCCGGUGUAGCGGUGAAAUGCGUAGAUAUUGGGAAGAACACCGGUGGCGAAGGCGGCGACCUGGUCCGAUACUGACGCUGAGGCGCGAAAGCGUGGGGAGCAAACAGG
rnacentral:rRNA from 1 species